rnacentral:rRNA from 1 species
GAUGAACGCUGGCGGCGUGCCUAAUACAUGCAAGUCGAGCGAACGGAUGAGAAGCUUGCUUCUCUGAUGUUAGCGGCGGACGGGUGAGUAACACGUGGAUAACCUACCUAUAAGACUGGGAUAACUUCGGGAAACCGGAGCUAAUACCGGAUAAUAUUUUGAACCGCAUGGUUCAAAAGUGAAAGACGGUCUUGCUGUCACUUAUAGAUGGAUCCGCGCUGCAUUAGCUAGUUGGUAAGGUAACGGCUUACCAAGGCAACGAUGCAUAGCCGACCUGAGAGGGUGAUCGGCCACACUGGAACUGAGACACGGUCCAGACUCCUACGGGAGGCAGCAGUAGGGAAUCUUCCGCAAUGGGCGAAAGCCUGACGGAGCAACGCCGCGUGAGCGAUGAAGGUCUUCGGAUCGUAAAACUCUGUUAUUAGGGAAGAACAUAUGUGUAAGUAACUGUGCACAUCUUGACGGUACCUAAUCAGAAAGCCACGGCUAACUACGUG